AGCGUGAAUGGAAGCGUAACUGGCCCUUCUUGGCUGGAUUCGCCAUCACCGGAACCCUAAUCACCAAGUUUUCCCUGGGUCUCUCUGAAGAGGAUGCCAAAAAAUCAAAAUUCGUUCAGGCGCACAAGAGGUGAAUUUGGAAUGGGAGAUUUGCACUUGCUUUGCACAUUGCAUUAGAUGUGUCAGAACUUUGCUUGUUUUACUCUUACAAAUUGUAAUAAAAGAGAGAUGUAUACAUUCUCACCAUGAUUCUAUUUCUAUUUCGGCUGUUUACUUAAAUGUCCUUGAGAAAUUCAUACUAAGUUGUUCUGUUCAGUGGAUCCACUUUAAUAUGACUUUGAUGUGAUAAUAUUGUGUUUGUUUUUGCAAUAAUGCCAAUUUGCUAACCAGAGGGAAAAUAGUUGUGUUAAUCAUGUUUUUAUGGCCUUUGGGUGUUUUGUUAGGCAGCAUUUUCUUAGUGAUAUAGUUUAUCUGAAACCAAUUUAUAUCAUGAGUGCAUAUGCCGAGCAUUCUGUUCUCAACAUUUCAUCAACUUAUCUAUUUAUUAUGUGCUUACAUUUCAUCCAAGAUGAUGGGGGUAUCCGUAUCCAUGCGAGAGAGACAUCGGACAUGGAAUGUAGAAUCAAAUUCACAACAUUAAAGCACGAUAGACAAUUGCUUGG